ACUUAUUAUACGUAAUAAGGUGUAUUGUAUGUUUUAUGUUAGGAUAAGCAGUACAUAAAUGUAAGUAAUAUAAAUUUAAAAUCCAUGAAUGAAUGUGCUGUAAAUGAUUAACAAAAACACACUUUUUAAUUCCAAUUGUAAUUGACCGGUAAGUCGAUGUCAUCAAGGUUCGAUAGGCUGAUUUAGACAAAUUUCAGAAUUAAAGUAACACACAUAAUUUCAAAUUUCACUAUUAAAGAAAAGGCCGUAUGGCGACCUUUAGUUGUUAAUUCUGUAUCAUUUGGUCUCUUGUGGAGAGUUGUGUCAUUGGCAAUCAUACCCACAUCUUCUUUUUAUAUACACAAUAGGUUAGUUAUAUUAAGAGAAUAUGUUAAAGCAAAUACGAGGCGGUUUCAAUUCUGUCACUUAAUAGUGACAAUAAAACUCAAUGUUGAGUUUUAAUUUCCCGAGGGUAUCCACUGCCUAAUAGUCAGCUCUUCAGUGUGUUGACAUGUUUUAACAUUGAUAUGGUCAUAAUUAAAAAAAUACUGUUUAUAAAACUUUGAAUUUUUGAAAUACGAAGGCUUUUCUUCCUCAGGAAUAGAUUACCAUAGCUAUAUUUUGCAAAACCUUUAGGAACGUUUGAUCCUUAAUGCUCUUCAACUUCGUAAUUUAUUUGGCCUUUUUAAAUUUCUUGAUUCGAGCGUCAUUGAUGUGUCUUUUGUAGAUGAAAAGCGAGUCUGGCGUAAAUACAAAUUUUCAAUCCUGGUAACUAUGAUGAGUUUGUUGUAAGAAAUGACAAGCUGUAAUUAAUCAAAACACCUGUGGGAAAAUAGAUGCAAGUGCUAUUCUGUUUGAUACGAUUGCUCCAGGCAAUUAAAUAAAAAUGAAAAUGUAAUAGGACAUUCCGUCAUUCCAACGUAACUCAUACAUUAUUUAUACUAUCCAGAAAACACUUAUUUCGGGAUAUCACCCUUUCACUAGCAUAAAGUUUAAAAAUAGAUAUUGUUGUGCGUUUGUUUUUCGACAUUGGCAAGAGGUAUAGGGGAGGGUUGAGAUUAAACAAAAACAUGUUGUACCCCGCCGCAAUUUCGGGCCUGUCCCAAGUCAGGAGCUUCUGGCUUAGUUAGUCUGGUAUGAUAUUUAAUUUCAGUUUCUUGUGUAUAAUUCAGAGUUUAGUAUGACGUCCAUUAUCACUGAACUAGUAUGCAUAUUUGUUUAGGAGCCAGCUGAAGUAUGCCUCCGGGUGCGGGAGUUUCUUGCUACAUUGAAGACCCAUUGGUGGCCUUCAGUUGUUGUCUGCUAUGGUCGGGUUAUUUUCGAUUUGACACAUUCCCAAUUUCGAUUCUCAAUUUUAUUACUACAAUGAAGGGGUUAAAAAAGUCGAUUCAAAGGGGAAAUUUAAUUGUUUUCCUUGUAUGUUUUUCAUAUCUUGUUCCAAAUUCCUACGACUAAUGAUAAUAGCGAUAUAUAAAUCUUCAUGGUGUUUUUUCUUCUUCUCAUAUUGUUAUAAUUCGUGUACUUCUAAUGAUAUAUUAUGACUGAUUCUAUAUUUUAUUUCAGACUUAUACUCGAUAUGCAUUCAUCAACCUGUACAUUUCUCUUGUGCAUAUUCAUCAUGUCGUAUAACGCAUCUGAGGAGUGGUUAACACACCAACCAUGUUUGUAUUCAUGUGAGAACCACCAUAGUCUUUGUAACGACAGAUGUAGAGGUUUACCAAGGGGAGACAAAAAGAUUCCAUGUUCUGAACUGUGUUUUAUCAGUCUCGAAAACUGCCGGGAUUUUUGCACUAGAAAACCAAACCGGACUUAGGUUAAAAACAAAAUGACAUAUGAAAAGGUAAUAAAUUGUAUUUCAAAAUAAUAUUUGUACAUAUUCCUAUUAAAAGCUAUCAACAGAGAA
rnacentral:lncRNA from 1 species